GAAAACCUGAAAACUACCGUUGGAUCAAAAAUAGACAUCCGAGAUUCAUCCACGUCACCAUGAGUAAAAAAAUUACUCAUGGUGACGUGAAUGAAUCUUGAACGUCCAUUUUUCAAUCCAAAGACAGUUUCCAAGUUUUU
rnacentral:pre_miRNA from 1 species